AAGUCGUAACAAGGUUUCCGUAGGUGAACCUGCGGAAGGAUCAUUACCGAGUGAGGGCCCUCUGGGUCCAACCUCCCACCCGUGUUUAUUGUACCUUGUUGCUUCGGUGGGCCCGCCUCACGGCCGCCGGGGGGCAUCUGCUCCCGGGCCCGCGCCCACCGAAGACACCUAGAACUCUGUCUGAAGAUUGAAGUCUGAGUGAAAUUAUAAAUUAUUUAAAACUUUCAACAACGGAUCUCUUGGUUCCG
rnacentral:misc_RNA from 1 species